rnacentral:rRNA from 1 species
GACGAACGCUGGCGGCGUGCCUAAUACAUGCAAGUCGAACGCUUCUUUCCUCCCGAGUGCUUGCACUCAAUUGGAAAGAGGAGUGGCGGACGGGUGAGUAACACGUGGGUAACCUACCCAUCAGAGGGGGAUAACACUUGGAAACAGGUGCUAAUACCGCAUAACAGUUUAUGCCGCAUGGCAUAAGAGUGAAAGGCGCUUUCGGGUGUCGCUGAUGGAUGGACCCGCGGUGCAUUAGCUAGUUGGUGAGGUAACGGCUCACCAAGGCCACGAUGCAUAGCCGACCUGAGAGGGUGAUCAGCCACACUGGGACUGAGACACGGCCCAGACUCCUACGGGAGGCAGCAGUAGGGAAUCUUCGGCAAUGGACGAAAGUCUGACCGAGCAACGCCGCGUGAGUGAAGAAGGUUUUCGGAUCGUAAAACUCUGUUGUUAGGGAAGAACAAGGACGUUAGUAACUGAACGUCCCCUGACGGUAUCUAACCAGAAAGCCACGGCUAACUACGUG